rnacentral:rRNA from 1 species
GGGUUUAAUUUUAUUUUUAAGUGAAAAAGCUUAGAUUAUGUAAGGGGACGAGAAGACCCUGAAGAGUUUUAUAUUUAAAUUUUAAUUUUGUACUAGUGGUUGAUUUUUAAUUAUUAUUUAAGUGUUUUGUUGGGGUGAUGUAAAGAUUUAUUGAACUCUUUUUGUUUAUUUCAAUUAUUUUUGUGUUUAUUGAUUUAUUUUUGUGAGUAAAAGUUAAAUUACCUUAGGGAUAACAGCGUAAUUUUUUAUGAAGUUCUUAUUUUUUUAAGGGAUUGCGACCUCGAUGUUGGAUUAAAAUUUAAGUUUGGUGUAGGUGCUGAGCUAAUUGAGUCUGUUCGACUUUUAAAUUUUUACAUGAUCUGAGU